GUAUGAAUGGCUCAGUUGGUAGAGCAUGAGACUCAAUCUCAGGGAUGGGAGUUUGAGCCCCACCUUGGGCA